GAUGAACGCUGGCGGCGUGCCUAAUACAUGCAAGUCGAGCGAACAGACGAGGAGCUUGCUCCUCUGACGUUAGCGGCGGACGGGUGAGUAACACGUGGAUAACCUACCUAUAAGACUGGGAUAACUUCGGGAAACCGGAGCUAAUACCGGAUAACAUGUUGAACCGCAUGGUUUAACAGUGAAAGACGGUCUUGCUGUCACUUAUAGAUGGAUCCGCGCCGCAUUAGCUAGUUGGUAAGGUAACGGCUUACCAAGGCAACGAUGCGUAGCCGACCUGAGAGGGUGAUCGGCCACAAUGGAACGGAGACACGGUCGAGACUCCUACGGGAGGCAGCAGUAGGGAAUCUUCCGCAAUGGGCGAAAGCCUGACGGAGCAACGCCGCGUGAGUGAAGAAGGUCUUCGGAUCGUAAAACUCUGUUAUUAGGGAAGAACAAAUGUGUAAGUAACUAUGCACGUCUUGACGGUACCUAAUCAGAAAGCCACGGCUAACUACGUG
rnacentral:rRNA from 1 species